rnacentral:rRNA from 1 species
CGUGUAACCUUUUGUAUGUACUGUACGAAUAAGGAUCGGCUAACUCCGUGCCAGCAGCCGCGGUAAUACGGAGGAUCCGAGCGUUAUCCGGGAUUUAUUGGGUUUAAAGGGUGCGUAGGUGGAUUGAUAAGUCAGCGGUGAAAGUUUGCAGCUUAACUGUAAAAUUGCCGUUGAAACUGUCGGUCUUGAGUGCAAAUGAGGUAGGCGGAAUGUGUUGUGUAGCGGUGAAAUGCUUAGAUAUAACACAGAACUCCGAUUGCGAAGGCAGCUUACUGGGAUGCAACUGACACUGAUGCACGAAAGCGUGGGUAUCAAACAGGAUUAGAUACCCUGGUAGUCCACGCAGUAAACGAUGAAUACUAGCUGUAUGCGAUAUACCGUAUGUGGCACAGCGAAAGCGUUAAGUAUUCCACCUGGGGAGUACGUUCGCAAGAAUGAAACUCAAAGGAAUUGACGGGGGCCCGCACAAGCGGAGGAACAUGUGGUUUAAUUCGAUGAUACGCGAGGAACCUUACCCGGGCUUGAAAUGCAGAAGACCGAAGUGGAAACACUUCUUCCAGCAAUGGCUUCUGUGUAGGUGCUGCAUGGUUGUCGUCAGCUCGUGCCGUGAGGUGUCGGCUUAAGUGCCAUAACGAGCGCAACCCUUGCCAAUAGUUACUAUCAGGUUAUGCUGAGGACUCUAUUGGGACUGCCAUCGUAAGAUGCGAGGAAGGUGGGGAUGACGUCAAAUCAGCACGGCCCUUACGUCCGGGGCGACACACGUGUUACAAUGGGGGGUACAGAGGGUUGCUACCUGGUGACAGGAUGCUAAUCUCAUAAAUCCUCUCUCAGUUCGGAUCGAAGUCUGCAACUCGACUUCGUGAAGCUGGAUUCGCUAGUAAUCGCGCAUCAGCCAUGGCGCGGUGAAUACGUUCCCGGGCCUUGUACACACCGCCCGU